rnacentral:lncRNA from 1 species
CACACACACACACACACACACACACACACACACACAAGCCUUCCGAAAGGGCUAACAACAAUCUUCAUGUCAGUACCACUGAACCAUGGAAAAGCAUUUGGGGUUCAAUAUGGGAUAAUUAGAAACCUUACUGCCAAGGAAACUCUUGCUUUUAUGCCCACAUGGACCUAGGCACCUGUAUCCCCAGGUCACAUAUAUAAGAGAGGAAUUGCUAAUAUUUGCACAUCCUUAAUUUUAUUGUAGGAUGCCACAAAUCUUGCAAAGGAGUUGAGCCAAUUCAGUUUUUACCAAAAAGCUAUAGAAGCUCCCAUCAGCCCCUAUGGCAGUCUCUUUACCCUGUGGUCCUGGCUUCUCUUUGAUCCUGGUUUGAGUUGGUGGCAUUCUCUAAAAUAUUUUAAAAGCCAGAUAUAAUUUUAUGUUUUUAUUUGCCACUUUAGAAAAGUUUGUGGAGACACUUUUAAGUCAGUGUUCCCCUUUCCAUUUCAAAGGAGAGAAAGGUCAGGGUGGGAAGAGUAAACGCAGUGGCUUCACGGUGGAUUGUAGCUGUGAAGCGAAAACUAUGCCGAGGGCAAGGAGGUGAGAGACCUCUAGAGAUGAACAGAUUAAGAAGUCAACAAGCUCUUCCCUCUCCCCUUCUUGUGGUCUUAUUUGGCCAUGUGAGGAAGGAAGCCCUUCUCCCUCACUUAAGUGAGAAGUUUCCGGACACCUCAAUUGGUUGAGUGUGGCUGGCCAUCGUGAUGAUGACAAAAUGGCACUCAACCGGGUUAAAUAAGACUGGUGGAAAAGAGCUGUCGCUGUUCUUCAGCUGCAGCAACAAAGCUAAGUCCUCUGGAAAUUCAGAUGAAAGGCGUGAGGUACCAAAAAUAAUAAUUUGUCAAUUUAGUUGUGGAGCACAGAGGACGCGUAAAAUGUGGGGAAACCAAAAUAGAGAUCCUGGAAGGAUUUUAUAUUUAGCUUGCUCCAAAACUGCGUUUGAUUUCUAACUGUUUUAAGGAAUCGGGAAUAGAGAUCAUAGAUUAUGCAUUGCGGGCAUAGUUUGCAAGGAUGCUAAUAGAUAAUGGGAAUCAAAGAAAAAUGCCCCGGCCUCACAUCAAAAGAACAGUGCUGAGCAUGUGUGCACGCACACACAGCUUUAUCGAAAAAUAAAAUAUUGAAAACGUUUAUCUGCAUAUAAGCCUUUUCAAUGUUUUGGUCAACUUUCUCAAUUAAAUAACCAACUAGCUGAUGUUACCAUAGUAAGGAAGUUUUCCAUGAGCCACUCAGACCAAAGCAGAUGCCCAGCUCAUGGAAAUCACAGUCUGGAAAUAAACAUUUUUAAAAAUUGAGGUAGACUUUCCCUACAGUAAAAUAUACAUCUCUAACUUUAUGAAAUUUGAAGAAUGUUUGAAACACAUGUCCUACAAGAGCUAUGUCUUAUGUAAAUGUUCAUGAUGUGUGCUUGUGCGUGUGUGCUUGUGCGUGUGUGUGUGUGUGUGUGUGUGUGUGUGUGUGUGUGUGUGUAUACCACCCCAGAAAAUUCCCUAAUUUCCUACUAGCAAAGCCAAGGGCUGUUUUUAAAUGCCAUCACAUAUUUCUUGUGCCCGUUACCUAACACUUUAUGAAUGAAAUCAAACAAUAUGUGUUAUUGGUGUAAUUUUCUCCCAGAUGAUUUUUCUUUGUGGUUUAUCUAUUGUAUGUCAACUUGAUGCAAGCUAUACUCUAAGAGGAGGGGAACCUUAGCUGAGAAACUGCCUCCAUAAGAUUAAGUUGUAGGCAAGCUUAUAAGGCAUUUUCUUAAUUAGUGAUUGAUGAGUGAGGGCCCAGCCCGUGUGGAUGGUGCUACCCCUGCACUUGUGGUCCUGGAUUCAACAAAAAAAUCAGGCUCUUCAAAAGCCAUUGAAGAGCAAGCAGUAUCCCUCAUGGUCUCUACAUCAGCUCCUGCUUCCAGGUUUCUGCCCUGUUUGAGUUCCUGUCCUGACUUCCUUCAGUGAUGGAUUACAAUGUAGAAAUGUAAGCCAAAUAAACCCUUCACUCUCC